rnacentral:rRNA from 1 species
UCGUAGGGUUAGUCGGGUCCUAAGCCGAGUCCGAAAGGGGUAGGUGAUGGAAAAUCGGUUAAUAUUCCGAUACCAAUUAUAGAGCGUGAUGGAAGGACGCAUAGGGCUAUCUGAGGUCGCUGAUGGAUUAGCGGCUCGAAGCACAAAGUUAGGGGAAAUGGUAAAUCCGUCCCCGUUUGCGAAGUGUUACAGGCUCUUCAAACCCUUCGGGGAGCGAAGAGAAUCAGGGAUGCCGUCGUGCCUAGAAAAGUUCCUAAGCAUAUCUAUAAUUGCCCGUACCGUAAACCGACACAGGUGGGUGAGAUGAGUAUUCUAAGGCGCGCAGAAGAACUGUGAUUAAGGAACUCUGCAAAAUAGCACCGUAUCUUCGGUAUAAGGUGUGCUUUCUUCGGAAAGUCUCAGCAAAGAGUCCCUCCCGA